ACUUGGAGACAUUUUAAUCACAUAUUAGUAAAAUUAUAAAGUCGAUAGUUUUAUUAAUAGUGAUUAACUCGAUAAAAUCAUCGAGGGGACUUGGCUCUUCAAAUAUGAGCCCAGGUAUCAAUGUUGAAUUGGUCAAGGGCGAUGAUCCAGAAAAUAACGAAUCCGAGUUACUUUAUAAGGAUUCUAAAUCCAAUGAUCAAGAAUUGAAAGCUGCUUUGGAGGUGAUAGGAAAGGUUAUGAAAAUGGAAGAAGCCAAGCCCUACAACGUUCCAGUUAAUCCUUUUGCUCUUGGAAUACCAGAAUCUAGAAAAAGGCGAUAAGUACAUGCGUGUGGAAGAUGUCUUUAAAGAUGUGCAAUAUAUAUGGGAAAACUGUUACAAGUAUAAUAACAAAGGAGAUAUUGUUGUGUAACUUAUGAAGAGGGUGAAGAGGAAUUUCAAAAAGUGUUGGCCAGCUGCUAGUUUAUUCGGUGAUCAACCUCGACACAAGUGGACCAAGUGGUGAUGUUUCUGUUUUUGCUUUUCAUUUGGUUGUGCAUUGUGAUUUGAUUUCGGAAUGUACAUUUCUCAUUUUUGUUGCAUCAGAAUUUGACAAUAGCUCUUUUCAUUUUGCUCUUCUUAUGGGGCAAAGUAUGAUUCUUUGCGUUGACAGUUGACAAAGGUUGAUGGCUUGAAAAAAACUCUCAUGUUUUUUUUUUUUUUUGGGAGA